rnacentral:tRNA from 1 species
GCCUGGCUGGCUCAGUCAGUAGAGCUUGUAACUCUUGAUCUCUGGGUUGUGAGUUUGAGUCCCAUGUUGGGCA